UGUCGGGAGCACUUCCUUCUUGGGCGUUUCCUGUCUGCCUUUGUCCUGGAGUAUCUGAUGUCUGUCUGAUAUACUCUGUGGCUUGUGGAUACGCUCUGGAUGGAUUCUAAGGUUUCUGCAUGAAUCUGAGUUCUUCAUUUCCUCCACAUAAAUACUCCAAAGAACAGAUGGCUUGGAAAUUAUGGCAUCACAAGUCUGCAGAUGAUGGAGAACCUCUGACCUGUUUGGGUUGGACAAAGUAUAUGCUCAGAGAAGCAACAAAUUGGAUUCCACUGGAACAGACACAAUUUGGAAGGCCACCCUUGCUGCCCUAACAAAAGGAGGAAUCUUACGAUGAAAAAGUUGAAGGCAUUUUUAUCAUGUCCACACAGACAACAAAUGACCUCAUGUACAUAAUUUACUUUCCAAAUAGCUUCAGUCUCCCAUCAGCGCCGCCUGGAUACUCCUGCACCGCGUCGGGUCAGUGGUCGCCUAGGGCUACGUCACAGCACCUGCAUUAUCCGCCCAGGUCACCUCGUCCCGCAGGUGUUUCAUUAUCUCAUGUCAUCACAAGAAGGGUGUGCUCAGCACAAUAAGAUACUUUGAGAGCAAGAGUCCAUCUUCACACUUUUAUUACAGUAUAUUGUUGUAAUUGUUCUAUUUUAUUAUCAAUUAUUGUUAAUCUCUUCCUGUGCCUCAUUGAUAAAUUCCUCUUCAUAUAAGUGUGUACAUAUAGGAAUAAACAGCAUAUAUGGAGGGCUUGGUAGCAUCCGUGAUUUCAAGCAUCCACUGGAGGGUCUUGGAACAUAUUCCUGUAGAUAAGGGGGAUGACUAUAUUUGAGUUAGAUUAUUAUGGAAC